rnacentral:rRNA from 1 species
UACGUAGGGUGCGAGCGUUGUCCGGAAUUACUGGGCGUAAAGAGCUCGUAGGUGGUUUGUCGCGUUGUUCGUGAAAACUCACAGCUCAACUGUGGGCGUGCGGGCGAUACGGGCAGACUGGAGUACUGCAGGGGGAGACUGGAAUUCCUGGUGUAGCGGUGGAAUGCGCAGAUAUCAGGAGGAACACCGGUGGCGAAGGCGGGUCUCUGGGCAGUAACUGACGCUGAGGAGCGAAAGCGUGGGGGAGCGAACAGG